rnacentral:rRNA from 1 species
AGACCUUUAGUUUGAACCCCGAAACCAGGUGAGCUACCCCGAGACAGCCUAUAUUGAUUUAGGGCUAACCCGUCUCUGUGGCAAAAGAGUGGGAAGAGCUCCGGGUAGAAGUGACAGACCUACCGAACCUGGUGAUAGCUGGUUGCCUGAGAAGUGGAUAGAAGUUCAGCCUCGCACACCCCAAGCCAGAGAAUACACCGCUAAGGCACUCAGGGAAAUGUGGGAGAGUUAGUUAAAGGGGGUACAGCCCCUUUAACAAAGGAUACAACCUUUGCAGGAGGAUAAAGAUCAUAAUAUAUAAAACAUACUGCUCUAGUGGGCCUAAAGGCAGCCACCUAAACAGAAAGCGUUAAAGCUCAGGCAGAAAGAAGUUUAUUAUACCGAUAAAAAAACUUACUCCCCUAAUUAUAUCAGGCCAACCCAUGCCAACAUGGAAGAGAUUAUGCUAAAAUGAGUAACAAGAAGACCUGCUCUUCUCCCAGCACAAGUGUAAACCAGAUCGGACUAACCACUGGAACUUAACGAACCCAACCCAAGAGGGUAGUGUGAAUAGUACAGACCUCAAGAAGAACUCACAACUAAACAAUCGUUAACCCCACACUGGAGUGCCAUUAUAAAGGAAAGACUAAAAGAGGGGGAAGGAACUCGGCAAACACAAGCCUCGCCUGUUUACCAAAAACAUCGCCUCCUGCAACUAUAUUGAGUAUAGGAGGUCCAGCCUGCCCAGUGACUACGGGUUCAACGGCCGCGGUAUUUUGACCGUGCAAAGGUAGCGCAAUCACUUGUCUCUUAAAUAGAGACCUGUAUGAAUGGCUAGACGAGGGCUUAACUGUCUCCCCCCUCCAGUCAGUGAAAUUGAUCUAUCCGUGCAGAAGCGGGUAUAAUUAUACAAGACGAGAAGACCCUUUGGAGCUUAAGGUACAAAGUCCAGCCACGUUAAACGACCCCCUAAAAGGCAAGAACUUAGUGGCCAAUGGAAUUUUACCUUCGGUUGGGGCGACCACGGAGGAGAAGAAAGCCUCCGAGUGGACUGGGUUAAAACCCAAAGCUAAGAGAUACAUCUCUAAGCCGCAGAACAUCUGACCAAAAGUGAUCCGGCUAAAAAGCCGAUCAACGAACCAAGUUACCCUAGGGAUAACAGCGCAAUCCUCUCCCAGAGUCCAUAUCGACGAGGGGGUUUACGACCUCGAUGUUGGAUCAGGACAUCCUAAUGGUGCAGCCGCUAUUAAGGGU